CGUCCGCUCUGCCUGUGCCCCGUCUCUAUGGCGGCCCCAACGGCCGGCCAGGACGUGGAGCGAAAUGAGCUCGGGCUCUGACGGCGGCGGUGGCGUUGCGGUGGCGGCGCGGUCGGACAAGGGCAGUCGCGGGGAGGACGGUUUCGUCCCGUCGGCGCUGGGUACCCGCAAGCAUUGGGAUGCUGUCUAUGAGAGAGAACUGCAAACUUUCCGAGAAUAUGGAGAUACAGGUGAAAUCUGGUUUGGAGAAGAGAGUAUGAAUCGACUAAUAAGGUGGAUGCAGAAACACAAGAUUCCACUGGAUGCUUCAGUGCUUGAUAUUGGAACUGGAAAUGGUGUUUUCCUGGUUGAACUUGCAAAAUUUGGUUUCUCUAAUAUUACUGGAAUUGAUUACUCUCCUUCUGCAAUUCAGCUUUCUGGAAGUAUUAUAGAAAAAGAAGGUUUAUCUAAUAUUAAGUUAAAGGUAGAAGACUUUUUGAAUCUCUCCACACAGCUGUCUGGAUUUCAUAUUUGUAUUGACAAAGGGACUUUUGAUGCCAUAAGCCUUAAUCCUGACAAUGCAAUUGAGAAGAGGAAGCAAUAUGUGAAAUCUCUCUCCAGGGUGUUGAAAGUAAAAGGCUUUUUUCUAAUAACGUCAUGUAAUUGGACCAAGGAAGAGUUGCUAAAUGAAUUCAGUGAAGGAUUUGAACUUUUCGAAGAGCUGCCAACACCCAAGUUCAGCUUUGGAGGCAGAUCUGGAAACAGUGUAGCAGCAUUGGUUUUCCAAAAAAUGUGAGACUUUUUCUUGGACAAAUUCAGGUAGCUACACAGAAUCUACACAGCAAAGUUAACCUGACACAGAAAAUCCUUGUGCAAAUAAAUGCUUACUUACUUUACCAGAACUCUUCCAUCCAGUGAGUUGCAAGCGUGACAUUUGCUGUGUUUUCAGCACCUGCCAACUUGGAAAGCAGGGUUUGUGUUCAGGACUUAGGCUCACAACCCAUACUUUGUGGUGCACAAUGCUGGCCCAGCUGGCAUGCUUUCGUACCUCAAUGGUGCUAGACAGUCAGUUACAAAGCUGUGUGGCUUCACAUGCACUGAUCUCAAUAGUCAUUCCUCUUCAAGCUGCUUUCAACUCUUUAUUUUGUAUCAAAGGAGUGGGAUUGGUAUUAUUAAACUCAUUGCUGAGGUUAUUUUUCAGUGAAAAUAAAUUGUUUUAUUUAGUUCUUGGAUCAAAGAGUAAUUUUGUCCUCAGGAACCAAAUACCUCUUUAAAAAGGUGUGUGUGUAUAUAUAUGUAUCAUGUAUGUAUGUAUGUAUGUAUGUAUAUACACACAUGCAUGAUUCCAGCCAGAGCUAUAAUUCAUUUCUUAUUUUCAUCAGUGGAUACAAAGGACAGGAAAGAACAGAGGGAUUAAUGUGUCAUGUGAUCCCUACAUGCUAAUGUAGGUAGGGUUAUUAGUUGUAGCUGGACAAAGAUGUGGGAAAAUUUACAGAACUUUUCUUUCUGAGUAAGACAUGAAAAUUGCCCCGAUGAUAGGUUCAGAUUUUUUAUUUCCAUCUAUAACCAGAAACUUCUUAUAUUUUCCAAGGAAGUAUAUUUUGCUAACAUAUUUCCAGUCACCUAUCUUUUUGAAAAUACUUAAGGUGGACUUGGUGUUGUCUGUCUUCUCAUAAUUUAUUAUAAGCAAUUUUAAAAAGGUUCUGCUUUAAAAAAGAUCUUUUCAAAUGUAGAAAGAACAGUGUGAAAUGUGAAUGACUGGCUUUUAAUACAAGGGUUGUGACAAAGAGGCAGUGGCUUUUGGAAGCCAAAUAAAGGGGUGAAUACACGUGCAUCUGCAUACUGCUGUGUCCAGUGUAUAACGUUUGGCGUUUGUUUAGUUCACUUGUUAGUCUGAAAAGGAUAGUAUGUUAUUCUCUCAAACCAGUUUAUAAUUUUUUAGUGAUAAGCUCUUUUUACAACCAUACAUACAGAUAGAUUUGAUGGGAAAAAUUGAACAUUUGCUAGUACUUGCUCAAGCCUCAAAGCUCAGCUCUUUGUUUGAACGUCACAUUUAUCUGGUUCUAAAGGCAUAAAAAUAAAACACCCACUAACUACCUAAGACACUCCUUAGUGCAUAUCAAAACCCAACCUUUACCCUCGUCUGCACAAAUGUGCUUAGGUGAAUACUUUUAUUAGCUUGUUGAUACAAGUUAUAGUAGGUUACACCCUUAAUAAAACACACCCUUAUUGUCAUCCUGUUGCUUAAGAGCUUUAAACUUGUAAUAGGGGAGCUCUCUAAUAUAGAAUGAUACUCAAUUUCUAUCUCCCAGGCAGUUUUGAGUGGAAGUGUGUUGCAUACCUUACACACAAGUGUGCCUCUAUUUGGUAGUCCUCCUUUGGGAGAACUAGGAUUGCUGUGUUUUAUCCCUGGCUUUCAUAUAUUUUGUUUGUUUUUUUAUUUUUUUUGAGACAGAGUCUUUUUCUGUCGCCCAGGCUGGAGUGCAGUGGCGUGAUCUUGGCUCACUGCAACCUCUGCCUCUCAGGAUCAAAUGAUUCUCCUGCCUCAGACUCCUGAGUAGCUGAGAUUACAGGUGUCUGCCACCAUGCCUGGCUAAUUUUUGUAUUUUUAAUAGAGAUGGGGUUUCACCAUGUUGGCCAGGCUAGUCUCAAACUCCUGACCUCAAGUGAUCGCCCGCCUUGGCCUCCUAAAGUGCUGGGAUUACAGGCGUGAGCCACUGUGCCGGGCCGUCAUAUAUUGGUCUUGACGUAAAAGACUGCAAGUAAUCCCUGCAUUUUAUAUUUCCCAGGGUGUUCUCUGGCUUAAAAAGGUUAGCGUUGGUUGAUGAUAAUGGAAAAGUUACAAGUAAUAGUUUUUAGAUUAUUUAUGGAUUUAUUCCCAAAUUGGCCUAUGAAUUUGCAUUUAGGUGUCUGGUUGUGUGCAAAAUCUGGUUUUGAUUUGGUUUUGACCAUUUCGGAUUGAACAAAGAUAGACAGUUUAGCUCCAUGUCCCCGCCCCAUUGCAGCUUUUACAUAGCUUUAAAUCCAGAGUUCUACGUUUUUAGCUACUCUUCUGAAUUGAGCAGAACUCUAAUAUAACAACAACCUUUUGGGUAGAAUUUUUUCAUAGUAAAGAACUAUGGAGCUGAGCACUAAGAAGUGAGGGUGUUUUAUAAUAUAGCUGUAGGAUUAUUAUAUAAUGGGGGAAGAGCCUAUAGUAUGGAAGGUUAAGUGUGACACAGGUCUUAAUGUAUGUAUAUCUUUUUAGCCUUUGGAGAUACAAAUCUAGAAAGUGAGAAGUAACUAUUUAUUGGUUAAUAGCAUAACUUCUUAAGCAAGUAUAUUAGUUCUAGACAGCCUCAAGAAAGCCUCAGAACCAGAAAAACAGGCUGCUUUAGGUUGGAAAGGAGGUGUUACAGCAGAGGAACUGGCCAUGACCACCAUCCUUGGAAUGUGAAACGCAAAUCAUCCUGAAAGCAACAAGAAUAAUGGUUGUAAUAAUUGUUUCCAGGCCUGGGACCCUGCAUCUUGUUUUUUAAGUUGACCUGAUGAACUAGUAAUUUUGUAGGAAUAAACUGAAUGUUUGCCAGCAGGAGUCACUCUAGGCUUCCUAAUAAAACGUUAGUAAAUUAAACUGUCCUUAAAGCUCUCAAAGGCUGAGGUGAUUGUGUGAUAUCAGAUGGCUUUAGGGAAACACUCUUUUCGUUAAGCAUAGCAGCAUUCUUAGAUUAUUCCUUGGGCCUUCUUUUGUUCACCAUCGGUUCUUGGAUCUUGUUCAAGAUUGGUCCUUAAUGCAUUUUUAAAAAGCAACGUAUAUGGGUAAGGAUAUCAAUAUCUUAGUAUUCUUUAUUCUGUAUGUUAGCUCAUUUUGGCUUUCUUAGGAUGAACUGACUCUAUCCCACAUCAUGUAACUUGAAAUAAAUAGACUCAUAUCCUUUCCACUGAUUGCUGUCCAUUCUAAUCAUGCAGCAGAACUCAGUGGAGUGAGCUGUAGUGUGAAGAGAUGUCAGUUCAUACUUUUCUGAAAAGAAUGGAUCCAGUAUGAUGAUAUUCUGAAAUAUUUCAGCAAUAGCCAUGAAAUAUAAUAGUUUCCCAAGCGCACAAAACUCAAGAAGUUAAUUGUUCAUUUAUGUUUGAUACUGGGAUUGAAACAUUGGAUUAAAACCAAUUAAAUGUUCCUAGAAGC